GGGGCUCUGCCUUUCUGGUUCUCUACUUUUCUAGCUCAUGAACAAGACAACUGUCACCAUUGCCCUUGUUCACUCUGCUUCCCUAUGCUCUUUACUUUGAUUGACAUUCACACUCCAUUCUCUUACACUCUUGACCUUGAAUUCCAUUUCUAGCCUGUGUUUCCCCCAGGUCCUGACCUCCAUAUCGUCAGCCCUGCCCAAGUACCCUGAUUCUGGCUCCUAAUUGCUCCCUUUGCUUAACUGCCUAGUUUAACAUCCAAACCCUGAAUUGGCCCCUGGCUCUGAUUAAUUGCAGCCUGAGACUCAGCAGCAGGGGUCUCAAUCCCAUCCCAGCCACUAGAGUAGCCAGGCUUGACCUCUGUUGGCUAAGCAAUAAAGGAUGCCACACCCACCUGUUGAAUACAGAGGCUGCCGUGAAACAUACUUCAGGAGUUGGUGCAUAUGUCACAGACACAACUCUGCCAGCAGAAAGACCCUCGGGCGCUGGCUGCCAUCUGCUAAAAGCCCAGUGUAAGGAGAAGCUUAUAUAUGAGGAGCUCUGCCCAAAUGAGACAGCAAUGGACAAUUGGCCCAGCAAGAUCAACCGUAUGCUCGCUCCUGGAAUUUAGAAUUGAUCCACGGAAUGGACAAAUCAUGGGGGAUGUGGUGUAGAGUUGGGGUAAAAGUUGACAACCAGGUCAUACACAGCCAUGUGCAUCCCAAAUUCCUGGAGCAGAGGGAGCAGUGAGCCUUCCCAGGAAAAGCAAAAGGAUGGGCACAUGCCCAGAUGCCAGAGGCAUCCUGCAGCACCCAGGAGAUAAAAGGAAUAGCUUCAUUCCCUGAUUCCCAGUCUGAAAACCCUGUGGCCUGGCUAAAAUUUGCUUCCUAUUUCAUAGAUGGUUAUGUAAUUGAUCAUGUAAGCAAUUGAUGUUGACUAAUUAAAACAAUCCUUGACUAACAGAUGAGCUACUUUAUAAAUGGAGAUUAUACCUAAACUAGUAUAAAUGAGAUUAGUAAUAACUUAUCGAAGGUUCAUCAUGUAACAAAACUGUGCUAAUACUUUCUAUCAGCUCACCUAAUUCCUGAUAAUCCCACAAAUUACUAUUAAUGCUCUUAUUUUAAAGAAGAGGACACUGGGACUUACAGAGGUUAAGGAAUUCGUUUGUUCAUACCACAAACAUUUGAAUGUUUGCUUUGUACCAGCCAUUUUUCUAGGACUUAGAAUAUAUCGACAAAUGAAAUAAAAAGUCCUUUGCCCACA
rnacentral:lncRNA from 12 species